GAUGAACGCUAGCUAUAGGCUUAACACAUGCAAGUCGAGGGGUAACAAGAGAAAAGCUUGCUUUUCUUGUUGACGACCGGCGUACGGGUGAGUAACACGUAUCCAACCUACCGUUUACAUGGGGAUAGCUCUUCGAAAGAAGGAUUAAUACCCGAUGUUAUAUAGACUUCGCAUGGAGUUUAUAUCAAAGAUUUAUCGGUAAACGAUGGGGAUGCGUUCCAUUAGACAGUUGGUGAGGUAACGGCUCACCAAAUCAACGAUGGAUAGGGGUUCUGAGAGGAAGGUCCCCCACAUUGGAACUGAGACACGGUCCAAACUCCUACGGGAGGCAGCAGUGGGGGAUAUUGCGCAAUGGGGGCAACCCUGACGCAGCAACGCCGCGUGAAUGAAGAAGGUCUUCGGAUUGUAAAAUUCUUUUAUUAAGGACGAACAGAUGACGGUACUUAAUGAAUAAGCUCCGGCUAACUACGUG
rnacentral:rRNA from 1 species